UUCCUUCAUUUUACACAUAGAAGGUUACAUUUUUAAUUCAUUCAAAUGAAUAAAAAUCUAAUAUUUUAUAUGGAAUAGUGUAAGCCUGCCUCCCUUAAAGAAAAAAAAAAAAACACUAGAAUUUCAGUUACUGCUGCCACUGAAAUACAGAAAGUGACAUGAGCUCAAAGAGGGAGGCCUAAUAGACGCUUCUGAUAGCAUGAACCAGAACACUGGUUAUUUAGCCACAUUUUUUUCUUUCUUUCUACACAGCAGAGCCUAAUGAGUUAUGUGUAGGAAUGCCAUCCCUCAGAGUUCCCAGAGAUGCCCUGGCAGUUUCAUUGCAGGCUGGUUUCCUUCUGUGGAGGAGCCACAGAAGGCGCAAAGAAAACUGCACUCUCCACGGGUUUGCAAUCAGACAACUUUGUUUCUGAAGCGUGGGAGCCUGGCUCUACAUACGUAGUCACUUCUGUUUUUCUUUUCCCCUCUUUCUUUGGUAUGGCUAGACCAACAUUUUAGUUGCUUCUGAAAUGUGGUUGUUAAACUGAAAAGGCAAAUGGAACAUUCCAAAGAGGCAAAACUUUGUUUUUAUAUUGCUGGGAUGGAAUUGGCGGGCUUCCGUUUCUCUCCUGCUACAAUCUUCUUGGAAAACUAUUUCAAGGCUUUAUCUAUAGACAUAUGAGAAAUAGGAGAUAAUUUAUUCUUUCUGCUUCUCUCUCUUUUUUUUUUCAAUAACAAAGUAAGAGAGGGCACCCUAAUAAUAUGCAGAAAGGCUGGGUAUGGUGGCUUAUGCGUGUAAUCCCAACACUUUGGGAGGCCGGGGUGGGAGGAUUGCUUGAGACCAGAAGUUCAAUACCAGCUUGAACAAUAUGGUGGACCCUGUCUCCACAACAAAUAAAAACAUUAGCCAGGUGUGGUGGUGUGCACCUGUAGUCCCAGCUACAGGAGGCUGAGGUGGGAGGACCGCUUGUGCUCAGGAGUUCGAGGCUGCAGUAAGCUAUGAUCGUGCAACCGCACUCCAGCCUGGGCAACAGAAUGAGACCCUGUCUCAAAAAGAAAAAACAAAACAAAACAAAACAAAGAAACAAAAAGCAAAAGAAUGUGCAGAAAACUUGUCUGGCCAUUCGACAGAAAGUCUGACAGGAUAAAAUAACCAAUGAGGCCCAGGAAAAAGCUGGUCUCAACCAGGCAAACAUCCCUGAAAUACCAGAACCCCAAGCAAACGCCUGUGAAUUAAAGGGAAAAGGAACACAUGAGGAAGACAAACAAGGCAAUAGAACGAUCUCCACGGGGAAAUGCGUGGCCUUUAGGAUGAGUCGCUAGUUCCAUUUAUUCCCAAUUGUAUAUGUCAUGUUCAGUGAAUUUUCAGGUGGCUAACAUACUCCAGUACAUCUGAAAAUCUGUCCGUCCACACCUUGCUGAACACAGGCCUGCAGUUCCCCCAACAUUUCUCCAUGAGGUUUGCCAUUCUCCUACUUACACUUGGCAUGAGGUGGGCAAUGAGGAAGGCUGAGGGCAAAUAAUUCAAGGGAGGUGAUGGGUUUAUGAUUAUUCAAUUUUCUUGUGCCCUGCUCUUUGCAUCCAUUUAAAAAUAAUUAUGAGAAAAAGCAUCUUUCUUAAUGGGCCUGAAAGAGUUUGGACUGUUAGUUACCAUGUUAUUUUCCAAUAUAAGAAGGCCACUUAUCACUUUCUAUGGCGGAAUUUAAAAGAAUACAUGGUGAGUGACAGUUAUAAGAAGUGGGUGCAGUGGCUCACACUUGUAAUCCCAGCACUUUGGAAGGCUGAGGUGGGCGGAUCACGAGGUCAGGAGUUCGAGACCAGCCUGGCCAAUAUGGUGAAACCUCGUCUCUACUAAAAAUACAGAAAUUAGCUGGGCGUAGUGAUGUGCACCUGUAGUCCCAGCAACUGGGGAGGCUGAGGCAGGAGAAUUGCUUAAACCAGGGAGGCAGAGGUUGCAGUGAGCCAAGAUCACACCACUGCACUCCAGCCUGGGUGACAGAGUGAAACUCUGUCUAAAAAAAAAAAAAAAAAAAAAAAAAAGAAGCAUUUAAUAUUUGUACUGUCUAGAAGACAUGGAUUAAGGAGUAAAAUCAGCAUAUUUUGGAAAGGGAGGGUGGAAGGAAGGAGAAGGCCCUGAUUCUGCAAGUCAUGUCAAAGACCCAGCUACCAAGGGGUUGAGGCAGAAGAGGUGGGGUGGGUGGGCCUGGAUCCCGGUACCUGAUAGGCUUCAUCCUGCAGCUUCUGUUUCAGGUAUUCCUCCAUCUUGAGCUCAUUCUCCAGCUGCCGGACAGAGUCAUUUUCGUAGUUUUCAUCCUCAGGCCGCACAUAGGGAUCUGCAUCCUCCGUAACCCUGAGAAGAAACCACAGAUGACAUUUUAGAGUGAAUCUUAAAAGAGAAUUACAAGUGGGAUUCGUGUGUGAGCUGUAGUUUAUUGGCACCUUUAUUUCUCCUUAGUUCUCCAAGUCACUUUCAUGUCUUCUUUAGUAAUACGUAAAGAAAAACUUGGAAACAUUUUGGAGGUUGGAAGCAAUAUAUGAUCAAGGUAUUUUCAUACACAAUUUUUUUAUGGCAGUUGUGGUCAUAGGUCAUCUCUCUUUUUCCUAGGGUUUACUGAAAUGGGUUGGCCCUUUAAAUGUUCUAUAAUUUAAAAAAUGGCAAACAUCUUUUGAGGGGAUACAAAGUUUUCCCAAUCAGAGGGCUCUUUUUAUUCUUCUUCAAAAUAGAACCCAAGAUCACUUUCUGUAUGGAGAGUGAGCCCUCUAGUGAAGUAAUGCUUAAGGACAUUUGGUUUUAAUUUAGUCUCUUUUGUGUUACCCACACAUGCACAUACACAUAUGAAUGCACACCACAUUCAUGCCUUAUUUUUACAGAAUUAAGUCUAAGAAUAUCAGCUAGUCGAUGCCAGGAGGGCUACUAACCCAUAACUCUUGAUCUUAGCUCUAAAUAUGAAAAAAAAAAAAAGCAUUUUAAUUAUCCAAUUCCACUCUGAAAUAAAUAGUUAAAAAUGACUUCAUUCCCUGAUGUGGGACUCUGUCUCCAUCUAUUCAUCCUAGACUAUGCAAAGCUCUUCAUGGGGCUGGACGUAAGCUUGCUACCUAAAUCAGAGGACUAAAAGAUUCUCAGGGUAAGACACAAGGACAUGUUUAGACAAUAGAGAUAUUAAAUUAUUCCCUAAAAUGAAAUAAGUGGUCAAGAAGAAGUUUCUACGCUGGAACUUGAACGUCGUUGUUCAUGUUUAUUUAUAGCUGUACAACUUGUUCUGGUUAUUUUUGGAGGUUUGGGGCCAGCCUAAAUGGGUCUGCCUAGGCCUCUGUUAACUUUCCUUCCCUAACUCCUGAGUCACAUGUUGGUAGCUGGUACUGCCACUCAGUGUACCAGGGCUAGCAGAUUAGGGUGGCCCCAACAGCCUUGGCCUUUAGAAUUGGGACAAGGAAAUUCUAGCUAACUGCCAUAUAAAUGCUUAAUAAUAAAAAGUCAAAUAGAUACGCAUUUACCAGACAAAACAGAUGACAACUAAUUCACUAUUUUGAAUAACAAAUCCAACAAUUCUAGAAUACAGAAGAAAGGACAAGAAAGCAAACUCUAUUAAGCAGCAGCGUACUGCCAUGUUAAGUCCCAUUAUAAUGGUUUUGUUUUGAUCCUAUUCUCUGCUGCUUCACAGCUGACUCUCAGACCACAGCUCUUGAUAAUUCUCCAUGAUUACUGAUCGUUUAUUCACUGCUGGGAUUGGGAGCCAGACACCAGAAAGGCCUCAGGUCACCAUAGAUGUGAACAGUGGCUGUCUUUGGAUUCCAGAAUUAUAGAUCUCUAUAUGAAGACUUUGAAGAAUGUGCAUGAUAGAUUGCUAAUUUAAAGAAAAUGCAAAUUGUAGACCCCAAAAUGCAAUGCAUGAUCCUAUUUGUGUGAAAAAAACCAGAAAAGAGUAUGUGCCUAUAAUCACAUCCUUAAACAUAUCUAUUUACACAUAAGCAAAACUUUGGGAAGGAUCAAAUUGUUAGUAGUGGUUACUUCUGGGAAUGAAAGCUGCCGGGUGAAGAUCUACAGAAUGAUUUUUUUUUUCUUAUUCUCUACAAAUUUAAAAAGUGAUAGUAAGAAGAGGUUUUAAAAAGUGUUAAAAAUAUUUCUAAAUUAAUACAGUCACUCUCCCUGUCGUGGGAAAGUGCUGGCUGGCAUCCCCAUCCCUCUUUGUACUCCUCUAACUGCAGAGGCCUAACCCUGUAGCCCUACCUUACAGAAGCAAUGGUUCAGCUCUUUGGGGAAUCUGAACAGGGAAUCUGUCAAAUGACUACAUGUCCUUCUUGCUUACCUCAUUGCUAAAGAGCUGUGAUUACUUAUCUCAGUCUUGACUUUAAUAUAAAGAAAAGACAAUAUGAGAUAAAAUCUCUAAGAAUUAAAAAAAAGUGGAUUACAUUUAUGAAGUUUUCUGGGGGUCCUGGUGAAAAGAUUUCCUGUCUUUUGAUGAACAAAGACUUACUAAAAAAUAAGACAGGGUAACAAAAGCCAAAGGAAGGUAAAAUGGUGAAGUGAGAACAAAUCGGGGUAGGGAGUUCCCAAAACGGCUGGCAGGCCCGGCUCUGACACCAGCCGUGAAAGACUCUUCAAUAUGAAGUCACAUGUUGCUCUGACAACUCUUGACCACUCAACAGACCUUGGUGACCUAUUUGUCACAUAAAAGCAGACCACAACAAAAAAUAAAGCCACUUACUUUGU